rnacentral:tRNA from 1 species
AACAGCUUGGCCGAGCGGGUUAAGGCGAUAGACUCGAAAUCUAUUGGGGGUAACCCGCGUGAGUUUCAAAGCUCACGACUGCUU